GUUUUUCUAUGCAUCAAAAGUGUUCGAUAGAAUGUCUGAAAGAAUGUGAAUUGAGCAAUGUAUUUCUAGCCAACGAAAGUUGAAGUUAGGACGCAUUGUGAACUAAAUGAACUUGUUUGAUAAUGCGAAUUUGACUAGGAAAUUACAUGCGAAAGUUUAGUAAUCGAGUAGUCAAAUUUAGUGAUUAAUGUCUUGAAAGAGAAUUAGUCUAAGUUGUGUUCAUGUUCAAGAACGGUUCGUAAUUGUUGAAUUCCUUGUCUCAUGUUUCCAUUGUUUAUUGAUCUCUGAAAUACCCUAAUGCCUAAUGUCUUUAAAUCUUGAAACUUAAAUCGUUUAAUUUAAUUGCAUUUUUAUUUUACAAUUCGGAAAACUCAAACAAAACAACUCUUCGCUUUAGCUAAGAACGAGUCUCGGAAAUCCUUAGAGUAUCUUUGGUCCUUGUGGAUCGACCCCGUAUAUACUACCUUGCGGUUAAGUGUAUCGGGUAAUUA
rnacentral:lncRNA from 1 species